UUGGAUACUAUUAAUUUAAUUAUUUUAAACCGUUUCAAUAUUUUCAAUAUAUCUAUAAAGGGCCCAUCUGUGUUCGGUUUUUAGCAAAAGGCAUACUAUCGUUUGAAACUAUGGUUGCAAAUGAUCUAUAGGUUUUACGGAAAAAGUAAAAUUGAUUUCAUGUAUGGCCUAUGACAGAAUAUUAUAUUAACUAUAAAUACAUCAUACUUU